UCCCUGGUGGUCUAGUGGUUAGGACUCAGUGCUUUCACCGCUGCAGCCUAGGUUUCACUCCCUGGUCUGGGAA
rnacentral:tRNA from 1 species